GCUCAGGAUGAACGCUGGCGGCGUGCCUAAUACAUGCAAGUCGAGCGAACGGACGAGAGUGCUUGCACUCUUUGAUGUUAGCGGCGGACGGGUGAGUAACACGUGGGUAACCUACCUAUAAGACUGGGAUAACUUCGGGAAACCGGAGCUAAUACCGGAUAAUAUUUUUCUCUGCAUGGAGGAAUAGUGAAAGACGGUUUUGCUGUCACUUAUAGAUGGACCCGCGGUGUAUUAGCUAGUUGGUGAGGUAACGGCUCACCAAGGCAACGAUACAUAGCCGACCUGAGAGGGUGAUCGGCCACACUGGGACUGAGACACGGCCCAGACUCCUACGGGAGGCAGCAGUAGGGAAUCUUCCGCAAUGGACGAAAGUCUGACGGAGCAACGCCGCGUGAGUGAAGAAGGUUUUCGGAUCGUAAAACUCUGUUGUAAGGGAAGAACAAGUACGUUAGUAACUGAACGUACCUGACG
rnacentral:rRNA from 1 species